rnacentral:rRNA from 1 species
UACGAAGGGAGCUAGCGUUGUUCGGAAUUACUGGGCGUAAAGGGCGCGUAGGCGGCUCGAUAAGUUGGAUGUGAAAGCCCAGGGCUCAACCCUGGAAUUGCAUUCAAGACUAUCUUGCUUGAAUUCGGUAGAGGUUGGUGGAAUUCCCAGUGUAGAGGUGAAAUUCGUAGAGAUUGGGAAGAACACCCGUGGCGAAGGCGGCCAACUGGACCGACAUUGACGCUGAGGCGCGAAAGCGUGGGGAUCAAACAGG